UGGCUCCGGAGUCGUGCUCAAGGGCAACGUGACCAUCGCAGCCAAGGCUGGAGUCAAGUUGGAGAUCCCAGAUGGAGCUGUGCUCGAGAACAAGGACAUCAACGGCCCGGAGGAUCUUUGAGUGACGCCCACCGCCAUCGCCAGUCACAUUCCCAGAAACCUUCCGGUCCUCCUUCGCUGAGUUAACCGUCCUGUAAUUUUUGUGUGCAUUCUGCUGGGGUGUUGUCCUGGGAUAGCCCCUUUACGUAAUAAUUGUAAGCCCCUCUGCUGUUCAUCUACACUUGUUCUUCCUGGCCGUGCCAGGGACAUAAAAUUUCUUUUGGUUAUAUGAUGAUGCCCCUAGUUCUCACAUGCCUAAAUUUGUUUCUUUCGCCCU